ACGAACCCGCUCCGGCUCUGGCUCCGGUUCCUCCACGUCAUCCACAUCGUCAUCCAAAUAGUCGUCCAAAGCCGCCAUCCGCGAGGUGCCGACCGUCCUUUUGCCUCUUUGGGUGAAGUCCUCAGGUGUGUAUUUGUUGAUUCCCUUCCUAGGCUUUAACUCGUAUGCAGACCGAACCUUGUAGGUCCCCAAGGUCAUAUCAUCAGAAACCUAUGCAUCCACAAAAGAUAUGGAAAGACCGUUUGUGAGAAUAUAGUUAGCAAUGCAUCAACAAUUGGAUAUAUAACCUCAGGCCAUACCUCUUGGGUGAGCACACCCACAUCUUGGGUGACCACACCCACAUCCUCAUCGUCCAAAGGAUUAUCAUGGCUAGAAGUUGGAUCUGAUGGUGUCGCCGACCUAGAACGUUCUGGUGAUACAUACUCGG
rnacentral:lncRNA from 1 species